CCUACGGGGGGCAGCAGUGGGGAAUAUUGGACAAUGGGGGGAACCCUGAUCCAGCCAUGCCGCGUGUGUGAAGAAGGCCCUCGGGUUGUAAAGCACUUUCAGUGAGGAAGAACGCCUGGUGGUUAAUACCCAUCAGGAAAGACAUCACUCACAGAAGAAGCACCGGCUAACUCCGUGCCAGCAGCCGCGGUAAUACGGAGGGUGCGAGCGUUAAUCGGAAUUACUGGGCGUAAAGCGCGCGUAGGUGGCUUGAUAAGCCGGUUGUGAAAGCCCCGGGCUCAACCUGGGAACGGCAUCCGGAACUGUCAAGCUAGAGUGCAGGAGAGGAAGGUAGAAUUCCCGGUGUAGCGGUGAAAUGCGUAGAGAUCGGGAGGAAUACCAGUGGCGAAGGCGGCCUUCUGGACUGACACUGACACUGAGGUGCGAAAGCGUGGGUAGCAAACAGGAUUAGACACCCCUGUAGUC
rnacentral:rRNA from 1 species